UACGGGGGGAGCAAGCGUUGUUCGGAUUUACUGGGCGUAAAGGGCGCGUAGGCGGUCAGCACAAGUCAGUUGUGAAAUCUCCGGGCUUAACUCGGAAAGGUCAACUGAUACUGUGCGACUAGAGUGCAGAAGGGGCAACUGGAAUUCUCGGUGUAGCGGUGAAAUGCGUAGAUAUCGAGAGGAACACCUGCGGCGAAGGCGGGUUGCUGGGCUGACACUGACGCUGAGGCGCGAAAGCAUGGGGAGCGAACAGG
rnacentral:rRNA from 1 species